rnacentral:rRNA from 1 species
CCUACGGGUGGCAGCAGUCGAGAAUCAUUCACAAUGGGGGAAACCCUGAUGGUGCGACGCCGCGUGGGGGACUGAAGGUCUUCGGAUUGUAAACCCCUGUCAUGUGGGAGCAAAUUAAAAAGAUAGUACCACAAGAGGAAGAGACGGCUAACUCUGUGCCAGCAGCCGCGGUACUACAGAGGUCUCAAGCGUUGUUCGGAAUCACGGGGCGUAAAGCGUGCGUAGGCUGUUUCGUAAGUCGUGUGUGAAAGGCGCGGGCUCAACCCGAGGACGGCACAUGAUACUGCGAGACUAGAGUAAUGGAGGGGGAACCGGAAUUCUCGGUGUAGCAGUGAAAUGCGUAGAUAUCGGGAGGAACACUCGUGGCGAAGGCGGGUUCCUGGACAUUAACUGACGCUGAGGCACGAAGGCCAGGGGAGCGAAAGGGAUUAGAUACCCGUGUAGUC